rnacentral:rRNA from 1 species
GUGCCAGCAGCCGCGGUAAUACGGAGGAUGCAAGCGUUAUCCGGAAUUAUUGGGCGUAAAGCGUCCGCAGGCGGUUUCACAAGUCUGCUGUCAAAGACUGGAGCUUAACUCCGGGCAGGCGGUGGAAACUGUGAAACUAGAGUACGGUAGGGGUAGAGGGAAUUCCCAGUGUAGCGGUGAAAUGCGUAGAGAUUGGGAAGAACACCAGUGGCGAAGGCGCUCUACUGGGCCGUAACUGACGCUCAGGGACGAAAGCUAGGGGAGCGAAAGGGAUUAGAUACCCCUGUAGUCCUAGCUGUAAACGAUGGAGACUAGGUGUGGCCUGUAUCGACCCGGGCCGUGCCGGAGCUAACGCGUUAAGUCUCCCGCCUGGGGAGUACGCACGCAAGUGUGAAACUUAAAUGAAUUGACGGGG